UACGGGGGGGGCAAGCGUUGUUCGGAAUUACUGGGCGUAAAGGGCGCGUAGGCGGCCUUCUAAGUCGGACGUGAAAUCCCUCGGCUUAACCGAGGAACUGCGUCCGAUACUGAAAGGCUUGAAUCCGGGAGAGGGAUGUGGAAUUCCAGGUGUAGCGGUGAAAUGCGUAGAUAUCUGGAGGAGCACCGGUGGCGAAGGCGGCAUCCUGGACCAAUAUUGACGCUGAGGUGCGAAAGCGUGGGGAGCAAACAGG
rnacentral:rRNA from 1 species